AUGCUAGCUACUCUCAUUGAGAGGGCCAAGUCAGUUGGUCAAAUAACCGGGGUCAUUCCUCAUUUAGUAGAAGGAGGCCUAUCAAUUUUACAGUACGCGGACGACACUAUUUUGUUUUUGGACCGCGACUUAGAAAAGGCUAGAAACCUCAAAUUGCUGUUAUGUGCUUUUGAGGAUCUUUCCGGACUUAAGAUUAAUUUUCACAAGAGUGAACUCUUCUGCUUUGGCGAGGCCGCAGAAAACUUACAAGAUUAUGCUGAAAUCUUUGGCUGUCAACUCGGACAUUUUCCGAUUCGCUAUCUAGGUAUCCCUAUUCAUUAUCGGCGAUUGACAAUCGCUGAAUGGAAGCAUGUUGAAGAGAGACUGGAGAAACGGUUGGCUAGCUGGAAGGCCAAACUCUUGUCCUAUGGGGGCCGAUUAGUUUUGAUCAACUCGGUCCUUACCAAUAUGGUUCUUUUCAUGAUAUCAUUCUUUCAUCUGCCAAAAGGAGUGCUCCAACGUCUUGAUUACUUUAGAUCAAGAUUUUUUUUGGCAGAGUGA
rnacentral:rRNA from 1 species